rnacentral:rRNA from 1 species
AGUGAACGCUGGCGGUAGGCCUAACACAUGCAAGUCGAACGGCAGCACAGUAAGAGCUUGCUCUUACGGGUGGCGAGUGGCGGACGGGUGAGGAAUACAUCGGAAUCUACCUUUUCGUGGGGGAUAACGUAGGGAAACUUACGCUAAUACCGCAUACGACCUACGGGUGAAAGCAGGGGAUCUUCGGACCUUGCGCGAUUGAAUGGGCCGAUGUCGGAUUAGCUAGUUGGCGGGGUAAAGGCCCACCAAGGCGACGAUCCGUAGCUGGUCUGAGAGGAUGAUCAGCCACACUGGAACUGAGACACGGUCCAGACUCCUACGGGAGGCAGCAGUGGGGAAUAUUGGACAAUGGGCGCAAGCCUGAUCCAGCCAUACCGCGUGGGUGAAGAAGGCCUUCGGGUUGUAAAGCCCUUUUGUUGGGAAAGAAAAGCAGCAGGUUAAUACCCCGCUGUUCCGACGGUACCCAAAGAAUAAGCACCGGCUAACUUCGUG